AUGGCCAGUGAACGUGUGUGUUCUGACUGCUGUGUGCAGGAGAGGUCCACAGGGCCUGUGCAUAAGGAUUACUAUAAUGAUUAUGAUCCCAGAACCAGGGCAAACAUUCUCCUCGCACCUCUAGAGGGGACAAGCCAAGUGUAAUCCAAUAAAUAACACUGUGAAAAUCGAAGCAGACAGAAACAUCUAAAAUAAACCACCAAACACAGGUGAGAAAGACCAACAGACACUGAACAAAAUCGAACUCCUGCUUGAUUAAAUGUGAAAUGUUUUUCUUUUUUUACAGCAUUCGUUGAAAAAGAUGAAUGCAAGUCAAUUUCAUAUUUCCUCUCGGUUUUUCAUUCAAACUUGUCAUUUUCCUCCUCGCCAGUGAAUUGUCACCUACACAAUACAUUUACAUAUGACCUAUUUUAGGUUUGAUAAUGAAAGCAAAGUGAGUGUGUGAACAUGUGUGAGUGAAGGUGCUGCUGUGUGAAGUUGAAGAAUAUGUGUAAGCAUGUGUGUGAUGCUCUGGCAGUGUCUGGUCCUGUUCUGUUGUUAACAAAGAGCAUGUAAUUAGGAGUCUGUUUAUCUCUCUCCUCCACUCUCUCAUUCCUCUGUUAUAAUGUUGGGAAGGGUGUGAAAACAAGCUAAAAAUAAGAGCCUGAAAGAGGAAAGUCAGAGGCACAUUAAUUGUGCCGGUUAAAAACGGCAUACAAAAUAUAGAUUUAAAAAAAUGGAGGAGAUAGAGGGGAAAAAAAAUAUUCUUUAACAUUCUUUAACUUCAUCAUUCUACCUAAUGGAGAGCCACUAAGGCAAAGAACGAUUUUAUAUAUAUAUAUAUAUAUCUCCGAGCACCUUUCUGACCUACUUUCCUCUUUUGUUGUUCUCCUGCUAGUCUGUGUACUUCUGCUUGACAUCUUUGAAAAGGAAACUCAAACAUGCUUUCCACAGCCUCGGUGUAACUCACUUCCUCUCUGAUGAAGUCAAGGAGUCGGGAAAACAAGGCGAGUUUAACUGAGAACGAGACUGAGUGUUAUUCUCAGGGGUGGCUCUGCUUUUACACACUGGAAUGGAAUGUUAUGGAAGCCUGAUUUCACCUCAAUGUAAAAAAAUUUAAAAAUGUAAUUAUGAAGAGAUAAAUCCACUUUUCGAGAUACAGUAUGAAGUUGGAAGAUUCACAGUUUGUGAUAUUUUAAGUCACAAAAAAAGGAAACAUAGUAACAACUGGGAGAUAUAAAGUUUUUUUUUUUUUAUUUAACUAACUAAAACUAAACUAAAAACUAAAUCUAAAUUAAAAACNUCAUUCUUCAUUAACUUAAACAUUAACUAGAUCUUCAUACUUAAACAUUAACUGAAAUAAAACAUUAAAAAAUAGUGAACAUUUUGUUUUAAACUAGUUGCCAAAAAAGCAACAUUUCUAAUUUUUGUUUAGUUUAAU
rnacentral:lncRNA from 1 species